GGCUAUAAAGCCGCGCCCUUUGGCCGGCCCGCUCCUCCUCCUCCUCCUCCGCGCCGCGCCUCUCGCCUGCUCGCCGCGCCCUGCCCGGUCCGCUCCUCCUCCUCCUCCUCUUCGUCCGGGCGGUGCCUCUCUCCUCCGACCUCCCCGCCGCGCUCCGGCCGGUCCGCUGCUCCUCCACCCUUCGUCCGGGCCGUGCGUACGUCCUCCUCAAGCCGGGUUUUUUUAUCUUGCUCGCCCUCCCCGAUCGAUUUGCCCCUCUAGAAUCCCGUCCGGAUUUGAUUUUGCUCCUCGCCGCCGCCGCCGCCGCCGGCGGUUUAGAUAGAUGGAGAGUCCCGCCCCGAUUCGGUUUUGCUCGUUCUCGCCGUCGUCCGUUUGGAACCGCGCCUGAUUUGAUUCUGCUCGUUCUCGCCGUCGUCCCCUCCGUUUAGAACCGCGUCCGAUUUGAUUUUGCUCGUCAGUUUAGAACCGCUCCCGAGUUGAUUUUGCGCGCCCCGCCGUCGUCAGUUUAGAGUCGCUCGCUUCUGAUUUGAUUCUGCUCGUCCUAGCCGUUGCCCCGACGCGCCCGCAUGUUCUUGGUCCGUCUCGUCGAGGGUCUCCGUCUGGUUAUUUGCGGUUCAGAAAUUUCCGCGUGUGCUUCUCUUGUCUGAGAGACGCUUUGGAUCCUACGGUUCUUCGUGUUCGUGUCCGGCGCGAGCGUUACAGGAACGGUCGGGUCUUGGUUUUGAAAUUGGAUUGCGGCCGAAGAUGGAGAGACAGAGAGCGAUUGUCAGUUCGUCGUGCUAGUUCCGUCACCUCCUGCGUUUUUCUUGUUCGUCGGUUGUUUUCAGAUCUCAAACGGCUAGCUUUUUUCGUCGUGGUCCGUGGAAACGUGCCCUUUUGAUACUCUCUGGUUCCUCUGUCGAUUCUGAUUGUACCAGCUAGCUUGUUUCACUUUGGUCAGGCGUGCGUGUGUGCUCUCAUCCUGGAUGCAGGGGUGAUUCUGAUGGGUGAUACUUUGUGCUUCUGUUCUUUUCAAUUGGUUACUUCCUAUCAUGCUUUGCUCCAUAUAUGCUCAUGUGUGUUCAGGGGUGCAAACCAUGUAGGCCAUGGGUGCCAUUUCGAGCAGGCAGGCAGAGCAGAAAUUUUUAAAAAGAGUGCAAAUCAUGUGGCUUGCUGCUUGACUAAUUGAACACCUGCUGCUGCUAUUGUUGGACAAGAUUUCCUUGUUUUCUUCCUCGUCUUGCUGUUUCCAUUUUCAUACAGGAGUAUUAGAUGAGGUGCUGCUAGUCCCUUAGAUUUCGUACUAGAUUGCAUAGCAUGACUCUAGAAUUUUUUUUCAUUGCACACCUGGGCAUAUGAUUCUGCUGUGAGCAUAAUUCCAAAGUUUAUUUUUAUCUGUGAAAGUAACGCUCAUCACACGUUUCUUAUCAAUGCUGCUCACUUUUGUCAUGUCCCUUUUGUUUGUCCUGUUAAAUUUUAUGGAGCAAAUUUUGUACUCACUCUAGUUAAAAUAUCAAGAACGCUGACUUCUGUAUUUGUCGCUAUGUAAGCCAUGCACUUGGGAAGCCUGGGCGUGGUUAGGAUUUGGAUUGCAUAUAGAUUUUAUGCUAUGUUUGUUUAUAACCUGGUUGUUGCCCAAUAUAGUGUAAAUCUGCUAAUAUUGUAAUUUAAUUUAUGUUCAACGCAAGUAGGUUUUGUUUGCAAGUGGUAUUUCUUUUGCGUAUUCACGCUGUCAAUUUUUCUUAUCAUAAUCAUUUACCGUGGUGUUUGACAAUACAUUUCUACUAUUGUUUGUUCCCUUUUGAGGUUCACUGACUCAAUUAUGCAUGAGACAUGAUAUCAAUUACUGCUGUCCAGUCACUGAAAUAAUGCUUUUCUUGCUUUGCCUAGACUUUGUAACAAGAAUAAGCAUGUGUCUCUGUGCCUACAAACUUGUGGGUAGUGCUGUAGUGAUGAUGAUCCAACUAGCUUCCUGUUUUCAGGAAUGAAGAUCUGAAUUACCCUCACCCCUCUACAGAAAUCAGUUAACUCAUUCAGUUUCUGGAACUUCUUUAUAGCUUUCUGAGUUUACUUCGGUCUUGCAUGUAUUAGCUUUCUGUUUGUACCCUUAUCUAUGUCUGUUUCUUUGUGUGUUUCUUGUGUGCAAGCGAUCCAUUGUGUGUGUCUGACUCUGUGUGUGAUGUGCCCCUAUCUAUGUAUGUUUCUUUGUCUGUUUCAUGUGUGUGAGUUUACUUCGGUCUUGAAUGUAUUAGCUUUCUGUUUGUACCCUUAUCUAUGUCUGUUUCGUUGUGUGUUUUUUGUGUGCAAGCGAUCCAUUGUGUGUCUGACUGUGUGUCUGACUCUGUGUGUGAUGUGCCCCUAUCUAUGUAUGUUUCUUUGUCUGUUUCAUGUGUGCAAGUGCUCCAUUAUCUGUGUGUGACUGUGUUUGACUGCUUGGAUGGGGUGAUUCUGAUUGUGUUACUGCUUAUACAGUCUGUCCAAUUGGUUUUUUAUUCAUGCUUUGCUUGUGUUCCAAUGUCGUCUCCCCAUAUAUGGGGAUGUGUUCAGGGAUGCAAACCAUUUGGCCAUUUCGAGCAGGCAGGGAUCCAGAGAUGUGCGCUGGUCAGGCUUCUCUCCUGCUGAUAGAUGAUGAUAGGCUGAGCAGAAAAGUUUGACUCUUGUAACACUCACUUGCUUGGCUUCCACUCCUUUGUGUGGCCGAUUUGGCAUCCAAUGCAUCUCAUGCCUAUCUUAUAUAUCUCACUCACUCAUCACAACAUCCUUUUCCCUGUUUUUGUUCCUUUUUUUCUUAUCAUAAUAAUCAUGUAUACCGUGGUGUUUGACAAUACAUUUUUUGUGAUAUCUUGUUUCAUUAUGUCUUAUGUGGAUAUCAUAUUCUUUUUUUUAUUGUUGCUGUCCAUUCACUGGAAUAAUGCUUUUCCAAGUAUUUCAGGUAGGAUAUAGACAAAUGUCGCAUUUGCUCUUCCUUGUGUUGCUAAGGACACUGAUGGGUGGGGUUUGCUUACAGCACAGGACCGAUAAUUCUGAUAGUAUGCCAAGGACUGCUCAGGGUUCCUAUCACUUUCUGUUUUACCAACUAAGGUUCAUCUUGUGACACAAAAUACAAUUUUGGUACGUGCAGACUCUGAAAUUUGGUGAUAACGAAAAGGUACCUCCUAAUUUGCUCUCUGGCUCUCUACACUUGUCUUUGUUUAUAUAACAGUAGUGGCCUCCUGGCUUGUAGUUGGGUAAUGCAGAGAGAGGUUUGGAAUUGAAGAAUUGAAAUAAUGCAGAGUUGAAGGUUCUGAACGGGAAGCUUGAACAAAUAGUUUACUUUUUCUCAUGUCUUUGAUUAGUUUCAUCCUAUCUAUGUCUGUUUCUUGUGUGCAAGCACUCCAUUCUGUCUGUGUGACUGUGUGUGACUGACUGUUUGUGUCUGUGUGACUGAUUAUGUGUGUUUCUUUGUCUGUUUCUUGUGUGCAAGCGCUCCAUUGUGUUUGUGCGUGUGUGUUGACUGUGUCUGCGUGUGUGACUGAUUGUGUGUGUGUUUCUUUGUCUGUUUCUUGUGGGCAAGCGCUCCAUUGUGUUUGUGCGUGUGUGUUGACUCUGUCUGUGUGUCAUUUUAUGACUGACUGUGUAUUGAUGUGACUCUGUGUAUGUGUGUGUGUGUGUGUGUUGACUGUGACUGUGUGUCAUUGUGCAAGCGCUCCAUAACUACUUAUUGGCACCUGAUAAUGCAUGCAAAUUUCUAUAAGGUCAUGGGCAUGUAAUUUUAUGACCUACGUACCUCUGUAGUUGGUAGUAUCAUUGCCCUUUGGACACCCUUCAAUGCAUUGCUGUAUAUUUUCCUGCCACAAGUAUGAUGUUUGUGCUCAGAAUGAUGUAUAUGAUUUCUUAUGGUUCUGAUGGUGUGCUUCUUGUGUUUGAACUGAAGUCGUGGAUCACUCAUCAACCUGGUCUGUGUUUGUAUGGUAACCCCUCUCGAAUUUAACUCCUUUCAAGUUCGUACACAAUAUUUAUGCAUAUCCCACAUUUUAGCUAGUUAUAUAGUAACGCCAUACUUCUUUGGACAUUUUUCUGUAUAUGCAAGUGUGGUGAGCUCACAUAUUGUGUCAGUAUCUACCUACGCAGCUUAAUUAUUUCCGGAUAGGAUAGAGGUGCAAUGUUUACAUCCAUGGCCGAAGGUUCUUUAGCACUGAACUCAUCAAAGGUCCUUGGACUCGAGAGGAAGAUGACAAAAUAAACAAGUAUGGACUAACAAAAUGGUCUGACUGCAAGGUCACUACCUGGACGUAUAGGCAAGCAAUGUUGGGAGAGGUCAGCAACCAGAACUUCCUGCUGCUGAUCCUGGGAUGCUCCCGAGCAUGUUCAAUUUAUCCGCCCUAGGACAGCCACUGCCAUGACACAGCAGGUUAUUACUCAGCAUGCUCGGCGUGUUUACUUCGGUGGACUUCCUCCGAUCGCUAAUGAACAGACAGUUGCUCUAUUCUUCAACCAAGUUAUGGCUGCUAUCGGGGGAAACACAUUUGAUCUAGGUGGCAUAAUCAUCUGAAUCCGAACAUAUGGAACGAUGCUUGUACUACUGAGGAGGAACAUGCACUGGUUAAUGCCAUCAGGUAUAUGGGAAUAAAUGAGCAGAAAUAGCAAAAGUUAUUCCUGGAAGGUACUGCAUGUCAAACAACUUGCAUCAUGGCUCUUGCUUGUAGUAUUAGCUUUCUGUUUGUGCCCUUUCUAUCUCUUGUGUGUGUGACUGACUGUGAGUGACUAUGACUAUGUGUGACUGACUCUGUGUGACUGUUACUCUGUGU